GCUGACUUCUGUUUUUUCCCCAAACGUGUCAGACUCAAAUUACAAUAGCAUCGAGAACCGAGAAAAGUGAUUUUCACAUUGCAUCCAUAUAAAGAGAAACUAGAGAAAACAAAACCAAGUGUUUCAACUGCAGAUUUCAAAGUGAUGCAGCUUAGAAAUUAUAAAAUUUGUAUUCCUCACAUAAAUGACCAACUCCAACCUUGCCCAAAACCGGGUUGUAACAUACUAGUCCUUCCUUUGCCAAAUAUUUUGCCUCCAAUUAAUAAGGUGGGUUGCCAAGAUGCACCAGGAUACUUUGCAGAAUUGGCACCAACAAUUUUGUCUGACCAAUAGACAACUUGUUUAUGAGACUCCAGAAGUAUGCUUACCCAGAACAAACAUGAGUGAAGAACAAGGUAAAAGCAUCAAGGAUAUUCCUGCAACACCAUGAGGGGCCAGCUCUAGUCAUAUAUGACUGCCCACGACCAGGACAGCAAGGCUUCAAAAAAGUCUGGUGAGCAAGAGAGGAAGAGACUGAUACUUGAAGAGCUGGGAGGCCAUGUUGGCACCACAGGCAAUAAUUGCUGCAAGACUCAUUGACGCCAAAACUAUAAAGGCUCAUUUUAUUCCUUCACAUAUUCAAGGCUUUUUGCUGCAAGUUUCUGGCUCAAGUGUUGGUGUAUAGUUUGUGGGAAACUUCACUACAGACACAAAGGGUUGGGUUCACCUAUAGUUCCAUGCAGGUUGACUUGGGUGCCCAACACUCCCUGGAGAAGGGCUUUUCCCUUCUUGUUACCAGCCUGCCCUUUCCCACUCCCAAACCUAGAAGAUUAUGUUAUGCCCUGAAUUUGCUAAGAGAAAUGAAGAUGAAAGGGAAGGAAAAGCAA
rnacentral:lncRNA from 1 species